rnacentral:lncRNA from 7 species
GAAGCAGGCCCCAAAGGUCAGGGUCAUUUCACCUUUCCCCCCUUCUAGACCUUUGUCCUCCCAGCUGCUUAUUAUUGUUGGUGUUUUGGUGAGGUUCAAGUUAUGAAAUCAUUUCUGUGGUACAAUGCUGAAGUGUGCAUAGAGGACUCGUGGAGUAGUAAGUGAAAUGAGACAGAGGCGUAACAAGGAACUGACAUCAAGAAAAAUAGAAGUUUCCUUUUAGUUUACCAAUAACUAAAUCAAACAGUCAUCUGCAUCUCCUGUGGAGUUCGACUCACUCAGCUAGUUUCUGCAGUAACUGGCAUGAAUACAUACAUACAAAGAAAAAGUACAGAAGCAGAAUCAGUAGCACCAUUUAUUUUAAAUGACAAAAGGAAUUUUUUUCCUUGUUGCUAAGCUAUGUUUCUUGUUACAACUCCUCUGACAGUGCUGUUUCAGGAAACUUGUUGUUUUGUCAGAGUAAUGAUUCUAACAGUUAUGUACGGCACAGAGCAAAUUUUGACCAUGCUUGAGCAAGCUGAAAGCCCCCAGAUGCAAGCAGAAAGUUAUGUGCAAGCAGGCUGGCUUCUUUCUGCUUUUGAAAAGUACUGGUCAACCUGCUCUUAGUAUCAACAGAAGUUUCAUUGUGAGGAGAUAUCAACUAGUGAAGCUAGCUGGAAAAAUUUUUUUGUUGCUGAAACUGAAGGAAAAUACAGUUCUAUGCUACUUCCAGUACAUAAAGUUCAGGAAGACCAGACUAAUCAUACUGAUUUCAGGACUUCAUGUUAUACUUAAAAUCCAUUUCGGAUAUACUUCAAGAGGUAUCCUAGUAACAUAGAGUUGUUUUUGCAGAGCAAAGGAUACUGGGUUAAACCUUUCUAAUUGCAAAUGGAUUGAUUUAUUGUAAGCAUGCUAAGUCAUCUGUGUGGAAUAUGAGUCUAAUUCUUGGUGUAUGCUUCCUUUAAUAGUUAUUGGCUACAGUUCCUUUUAUGUCUUUUUUUCCUUUCUCUGCCUUAGUGGUUAAUUCUGUCUUCCAUCUGAAUGUGCACAUCUUCAUAUUGUGAAUCUUGCGUGUAUGUUGGUAUUUCACUGAAAGUAUGUUUUUUUCUAAUUGUAUGUUAUAAAGCAUCAUAGAUGGAAAGUGUAUUUAGAAACUGUUUCUAAAUGUUUCAUUGAUUGCCCUUAAUUAGUAAAGAUGUCUGGCCAAUUUUUCUCUUCGGUGUUUUUUGGCUCCAGUUGAAUUGUGAAUUCUAAGGUGUUCUGAGAAAAGCAGGAAAAAGGAAAAUAUUUAUGUACUGGCUCUGGAUGCAAGAAGGAGUUUAAAGAUACCUAAUGUCUCUUAUAAACAUCUCCAAGAAUUAACUAAUUACAGAUAAUAUCAUCUGCCAUUAAUUUUCAAGUAUGUAGUGAAAUAAUGGUUUCUUAAGAGAACUUGGAACAACGUACUGUAAAAGAUGAGUAACA